AAUAAAUGGCAGUACUCAAACCCCCUCCCCCAAAAUGACCGCCUCUGUAUUUCAUUAAACGAACAACUGAGGUUUGUUUGACUUUGUUGUGCUUCUGCAGCAUAUAUGAUGCUUUAAAAAAAAGCAAUAUUGCGUCUGCUUUCACGACAAUUCAAUUUGCAACUAACAAAUACGAGUUACAUGCUAUAGGAAAUAGUUCUCAGUGAAUAAUUUAGUAACUGAUACUUUAAUUUUAGAUAAGGUAUUUUUAACUUAGGCUAGUUUAGCUUUACUGGAAAAGGACUUUUGUUAUAAAAAUCAUUGUGGCUCGGUAUUUGUGGUCUGUCAUAAUUUCAUACUUGGUAUCCUCGGUACAUCCUCGGUAAAGUUCGUAUAUUUUUUGGGUAUCUAACAGCUUAAGGAAAUACAGCAAGCUUCAGCUUUAAGCUUUGGCAUGAGUUGACUAUUUUCAGUUCUCGAGAUAAAGUCAAAUAAGUACUUUUGAAUAC